rnacentral:rRNA from 1 species
GACGAACGCUGGCGGCGUGCUUAACACAUGCAAGUCGAACGGAAAGGCCUGCUUUCCCUUGUGGAUUGCGGGUACUCGAGUGGCGAACGGGUGAGUAACACGUGAGUGAUCUGCCCCCAACUUGGGUAUAAGCCUGGGAAACUGGGUCUAAUUCCCGAUAGGACUGCAGGGUGGUGCCUGUGGUGGAAAACGAUUUUCUAGUGGUUGGGGAUGAGCUCGCGGCCUUUCAGCUUGUUGGUGGGGUAAUGGCCUACCAAGGCGGCGACGGGUAGCCGGCCUGAGAGGGUGGACGGCCACAUUGGGACUGAGAUACGGCCCAGACUCCUACGGGAGGCAGCAGUGGGGAAUAUUGCACAAUGGGCGGAAGCCUGAUGCAGCGACGCCGCGUGGGGGAUGACGGCCUUCGGGUUGUAAUCUCCUUUCGACCGCGAGGAAGCCACCUGGUUGGAAGGGUGGUGACGGUAGUGGUAGAAGAAGCACCGGCUAACUACGUG